rnacentral:lncRNA from 1 species
UGGAGUUUCAUCUAACUACUUACCAGAGUAGAAUAAUUUUGGGAUCUUCUCCUGCAAUAAGGCAAGCCCCGGUGCAUUUGCCACCUUCCUUGUGUUUACAAAAUUUUUAUCACUUAUAUGUUGCAUUAGGUUAUAGGAGUUGAUUGAUCAAACCCUUGAUGCAUUACCAUCCUUGAAAGCUUGAUUACCAUACCUUGUUACCUAUUUAAUAAAAGCUAGUGAUGCUUAGUCAUGCUGAUAGAUUAAGAAAAAUGUUUUUGAUCUAUGACUCAUGUUUUUAUAAAAAAAUGGGCUUGGGAUAAUGAAGGCAUCAAGACGUUGAUAAAUUCAUUAUCCAGGCAUGGCCCCUCUGUCAGGCGCCAAAGUUUUGAAAUAGUUUAAAAUGAGACCAGACACUGAGCAGGAAAAGUCGCCCGUCUGUGUCGAUUAAGGACCGUACCGAUUGCUGGCCUGCUGAUCUAGGAUCUUUUAUCUGGCCACAUACCUCAUCAUGGGUAAGCCUGAACCCGGCUAUUUCAUACGUGAAAAUACAAUCACGCACUGGGAGUGGAGAGAUGGCGAGAGUGGCACGUACCCUCCUGGCAAAGGACCGUCUAAAAGGGGUGGUGUGCUCUCGAGUGGCGCGGACCUGUUCAUUUGAUGGAGGAUCCGUGGGAAUGGUAGACAUGUGCAAAAGAGUUAAGAGAAGCAUAUGUCGUGUGGUUGGAGAUCCCUAGCUGGGUAUUAAUCGAUUCGGAUCGCCGUUACUUCUCGGUUAUGAAGACUAGAUCUUCGACCUGCAGCGUAGUUAACAAGUAUAACAAUGUUUUGAUUAAAAGCAACCUAGUGUAGGUCAAGUGAAUGAUCUAGAUUAGGCAAAUGCUAGAUUCAGGCUAGAAGAUUCAGGUAAUAAACAAACUUGUGACAUAAAACGUGGCUUAAGGACCCACUUCUAGUAAGCUUUUCUGCAAAUUGAGUCCUUGAACUUUGAUGAGCUUUAACUUGAUUCCCAAAAGGCAGCAUACCCUUGAGAGUCUUUUCUUUAGUCGGGUAAGUCUUGCUGAGUAAUUGCAUACUCAGGGUUUUAUCCCUUGUUGUUUUUGUAGGAGAAGUUUUAUUCCCUUAUCUUUGGGUUAGUUACUUCAUGUGGAGGACUUGAAGCUUAGAAUGUUUUUAUAUAUCUCUUAUGGAAAGGCUUCACCCUUCCAAUUAUUGUAAUAAGUUAUGCACUUCGAGUACUAUCAGGACUUGUAAUA